GGGGGUAUAGCUCAGCUGGGAGAGCAGCAGACUGAAGUAGGGCAUUUCUCACGUUUGUUCUGAAGGUACCGCGUUCGAUCCGCGGUACCCCCA